UUUAAGAUUUUAACUUCUCUCUAUAAACGCCUCAGCAACACAUAAAAUCAUACCUCAUAACAAUAAAAAAGAACUUCCUUAAUAAUUCAAGAAAGCUUAAUGUUCAUCUGGUACCAGAGUUUGAUUUUGAACACAUUUUUUUUAAUUAGUUAAAAAUUAUUUAACAUCCUGUUUAAAGAAAUAAAACUAAAGUGUUCUCUUUUUACAGUGCUGAGUUCUAUUCUAAAUGUCGUGGAAAGACAAGAUACUUGUGCUCGAGAGAUGUUAACCAGUUUUGAAGAAUGAU
rnacentral:lncRNA from 1 species